rnacentral:rRNA from 1 species
AUUGAACGCUGGCGGCAGGCCUAACACAUGCAAGUCGAGCGGGGUUUUCGGACCUAGCGGCGGACGGGUGAGUAAUGCGUAGGAAGCUGCCCGAUAGAGGGGAUACCAGUUGGAAACGACUGUUAAUACCGCAUAAUGUCUACGGACCAAAGUGUGGAACCUUCGGGCCACAUGCUAUCGGAUGCGCCUACGUGGGAUUAGCUAGUUGGUGAGGUAAUGGCUCACCAAGGCGACGAUCUCUAGCUGGUUUGAGAGGAUGAUCAGCCACACUGGAACUGAGACACGGUCCAGACUCCUACGGGAGGCAGCAGUGGGGAAUAUUGGACAAUGGGCGCAAGCCUGAUCCAGCCAUGCCGCGUGUGUGAAGAAGGCCUUCGGGUUGUAAAGCACUUUCAGCGAGGAGGAAGGGGUGUGUGUUAAUAGUACACACCUUUGACGUUACUCGCAGAAGAAGCACCGGCUAACUCUGUGCCAGCCGCCGCUGUAACAC